rnacentral:rRNA from 1 species
UACGUAGGGCGCAAGCGUUAUCCGGAAUUAUUGGGCGUAAAGCGCUCGUAGGCGGUUUGUCGCGUCUGCCGUGAAAGCCCGGGGCUCAACUCCGGAUCUGCGGUGGGUACGGGCAGACUAGAGUGAUGUAGGGGAGACUGGAAUUCCUGGCGUAGCGGUGAAAUGCGUAGAUAUCUGGAGGAACACCGGUGGCGAAGGCGGCAUCCUGGACCGAUACUGACGCUGAGGAGCGAAAGCCAGGGGAGCAAACGGG